AAUAGAAAUAGAGGUUGCAUUUUUUAAGAGUAAUAUCCCGGAUGUGGGCAGUGCAGAAGAAAGGAUAAGAAAGGGAAAAAUGCCGAAGGGAUCAGAUUUUCCUGCCGUUUUGUAUCCCUGGGCAUGCAGUGAAGAACUGUAUGACUGUCAUCUGAUGGGAAAUCCCUGGAUGGAGAGCUAUGAACAUU
rfam:Roseburia sp. CAG:303 genomic scaffold, scf289